GCCGAGGUAGCUCAGUUGGUAGAGCAGCGGACUGAAAAUCCGCGUGUCGCCGGUUCAAUUCCGGCCCUCGGCACCA
rnacentral:tRNA from 2 species